rnacentral:rRNA from 1 species
CAGUAGCCGCGGGAAUACGGAGGGCGCGAGCGUUACCCGGAUUUACUGGGCGUAAAGCGUACGUAGGUGGUGGUUUAAGUCCGUUGUGAAAGCCCUGGGCUCAACCUGGGAAUUGCAGUGGAUACUGGGUCACUAGAGUGUGGUAGAGGAUAGUGGAAUUUCCGGUGUAGCAGUGAAAUGCGUAGAGAUCGGAAGGAACACCUGUGGCGAAAGCGGCUCACUGGACCAUUUCUGACGCUGAUGCACGAAAGCUAGGGGAGCAAACAGGAUUAGAUACCCCUGUAGUCCCUGUCUCUUAUAC